GUGGGGAAUAUUGGACAAUGGGCGCAAGCCUGAUCCAGCCAUGCCGCGUGAGUGAUGAAGGCCUUAGGGUUGUAAAGCUCUUUCAGUGGGGACGAUAAUGACGGUACCCACAGAAGAAGCCCCGGCUAACUUCGUGCCAGCAGCCGCGGUAAUACGAAGGGGGCUAGCGUUGUUCGGAUUUACUGGGCGUAAAGCGCACGUAGGCGGAUCGUUAAGUCGGGGGUGAAAUCCUGGAGCUCAACUCCAGAACUGCCUUCGAUACUGGCGAUCUUGAGUCCGGAAGAGGUGAGUGGAACUCCUAGUGGAGAGGUGGAAUUCGUAGAUAUUAGGAAGAACACCAGUGGCGAAGGCGGCUCACUGGUCCGGUACUGACGCUGAGGUGCGAAAGCGUGGGGAGCAAACAGGAUUAGAUACCCGAGUAGACC
rnacentral:rRNA from 1 species